UACGAAGGUGGCUAGCGUUGUUCGGAAUUACUGGGCGUAAAGCGCGUGUAGGCGGGCCGUUAAGAUGGGGGUGAAAGCCCGGAGCUCAACUCCGGAACUGCCUUCAUGACUGGCGGCCUGGACUCAAGGAGAGGCAAGUGGAAUUGCGAGUGUAGAGGUGAAAUUCGUAGAUAUUCGCAGGAACACCAGUGGCGAAGGCGACUUGCUGGACUUGUAGUGACGCUGAGACGCGAAAGCGUGGGGAGCAAACAGG
rnacentral:rRNA from 1 species